GAAAACUCAACAGAUUCAAACCUAGUGUAGAUCGUUUGAACAACGAGCUAGGGCAACGUGGGAUAAGUCGUAAUAAGCGAGAAUACGGGAUACUGUGUUCUAACUUAGGUAUGGGUCGUAGUAAUAUGAUCGGAACUAAUGGUAAAAGCCAUUAUAUGCAAAGCGGUGCGUAGACAUUAUGCAGGGGUAAGGUGCAAGACUUUCGGGCGAGAUAAUAGACGCUCCAGUGGAGAAUAAUCUUAGUCAGGUGUGGUGUGAGAAGCCAGACAAACCUAAGAAAACUCAAAAUAAUCGCUACUGAUGAGAAACCUAGAAAUAGGUGAAUGACGAAAGAAAUUGGCACGAGUAGCUUAACUUGUCAGGCAUUACAUUAAAAUUCCAAGCUAUGGAAAACAGAUAAUGCUGAAUGUUCAAGUGAAAGUUGUUGGCUGUUAUGCCAGACCACGCAAGAUAAGCAAGAAGAAGCAUUACUGUAGCUCGGUAGUGUUCAGCCUUCUUGGGCGUGUAACCUAAUAACCUUGAAAAUAAUUGAAGCAGGAAGAAAAGCCUGAAUCUAUUGAGUU
rnacentral:sRNA from 1 species